UUCCGGUUGAUCCCGCCGGACCCCACUGCUAUCGGGAUAGGACUAAGACAUGCUAGUCGUGUGCCUCAGCCAAAACGAGGCACGGCGCACAGCUCAGUAACACGUGGCUAACCUGCCCUUAGGACGAGAAUAACCCCGGGAAACUGGGGCUAAUGCUCGAUAGGUGAAGAACUCUGGAAUGAGUCUUCACUUAAAAGAGUCUGCGUUAUGCUCGUAGAUUUCGCUUAAGGAUGGGGCCGCGACCGAUCAGGUUGUUGGUGAGGUAAUGGCUCACCAAGCCUUUUACCGGUGCGGGCCGUGAGAGCGGGAGCCCGGAGAUGGGCACUGAGACAAGGGCCCAGGCCCUACGGGGCGCAGCAGUCGCGAAAACUUUGCAAUACACGAAAGUGUGACAGGGCUAUCCCGAGUGCCAUCCGCUGAGGAAGGCUUUUACCCAGUCUAGAACGCUGGGGGAAUAAGGAGAGGGCAAGUCUGGUGUCAGCCGCCGCGGUAAUACCAGCUCUCCGAGUGGUGUGGAUGUUUAUUGGGCCUAAAGCAUCCGUAGCUGGCUAAGUUAGUCCCCUGUUAAAUCCAACGAAUUAAUCGUUGGAUCGCGGGGGAUACUGCUUGGCUAGGGGACGAGAGAGGCAGACGGUAUUUCCGGGGUAGGGGUGAAAUCCUAUAAUCCCGGGAAGACCACCAGUGGCGAAGGCUGUCUGCUAGAACGCGCCCGACGGUGAGGGAUGAAAGCUGGGGGAGCGAACCGGAUUAGAUACCCGGGUAGUCCCAGCUGUAAACGAUGCAGGCUAGGUGUUUGGACGGCCACGUGCCGUUCUAGUGCCGCAGGGAAGCUGUUAAGCCUGCCGCCUGGGGAGUACGAUCGCAAGAUUGAAACUUAAAGGAAUUGGCGGGGGAGCACCACAAGGGGUGAAGCUUGCGGUUUAAUUGGAGUCAACGCCGGA
rnacentral:rRNA from 1 species